GCCCCGAAAGGGGCAGGGCGAGAGCCCUGGCAACGGCUCAGAAACGAGACCCCUCCCAGCAGAUGUGGAUGAGGCGGCUGAGGCGAACGCCGAGAAGGCGCCUAGCAAUAGGCGCCGAGCUAACCCGUCGACAAUGCUGGGAGAAUGGUUGCAACGGCCGACCUGCGGGGGUAAGGCCAAAUAGGAGCCAAUGAGGCCCGCGCGAGGCUCGGGUAGGCCGCAUAGCUGAAUCCCGCAAAACAGAAGGUGAGCUAUACCGACAUGC
rnacentral:RNase_P_RNA from 1 species